UACGUAGGGUGCGAGCGUUGUCCGGAAUUAUUGGGCGUAAAGAGCUCGUAGGCGGUGUGUCACGUCGUUCGUGAAAACCUGCAGCUUAACUCUGGGCGUGCGGUCGAUACGGGCAUCACUAGAGUUCGGCAGGGGAGACUGGAAUUCCUGGUGUAGCGGUGAAAUGCGCAGAUAUCAGGAGGAACACCGGUGGCGAAGGCGGGUCUCUGGGCCGAUACUGACGCUGAGGAGCGAAAGCAUGGGUAGCGAACAGG
rnacentral:rRNA from 1 species